rnacentral:snRNA from 1 species
GUGCUCACUUCUGCAGCACAUAUACUAAAAUUGGAAGAAUACAGAGAAGAUUAGCAUGGCUCCUGUGCAAGGAUGACAUGCAAAU